rnacentral:rRNA from 1 species
GAUGAACGCUGGCGGCGUGCCUAACACAUGCAAGUCGAGCGAGAUUUAGUGGAGUGCGGACUUCGGUCCAAGUGAAGCUGAUGGAAGCGGCGGACGGGUGAGUAACGCGUGGGCAACCUGCCCCAUACAAAGGGAUAGCCACUGGAAACGGUGAUUAAUACCUUAUAAGUCGGUAGUUUCGCAUGAAACAGCCGACAAAGAUUUAUCGGUAUGGGAUGGGCCCGCGUUUGAUUAGCUAGUUGGUGUGGUAACGGCUCACCAAGGCGACGAUCAAUAGCCGACCUGAGAGGGUGAUCGGCCACACUGGAACUGAGACACGGUCCAGACUCCUACGGGAGGCAGCAGUGGGGAAUAUUGCACAAUGGGCGCAAGCCUGAUGCAGCAACGCCGCGUGAGUGAUGAAGGCC